UUGUCGGGUAAGUGUAGUACUACUUGUCACAGUUACGCGUGCGACGUGUACAAACGACCCAUGUUUCGAUCGAGCUCGGUGUGGUAGAACGUUGAACAUAUUUUCUGCAUACACAAAAAUAUCAUUUUGAAAGGCGAUACCCAGGGUAUUAUGACCAGCCAAAAUUGUAAUGGACAACACAAAAACCUCAUGAAUAUUAUUAUUUACCCUCGUCGUGUGUAUUCGAGAAUCGAACAAACGGUCGGAACUCAGUUCACCCGCUGCUAGUCACGGAAGAAUUAAUAAGAAUGGUUACUUUCCUUAAAUAUGUAUCGAUCAAACGUCAAAGUAUAUGGAGGACUAUGGUAGUGGAUAUAUAUUAGGAGAUUUUACGCCGUUUCCGUGGAUCUAUGACCUUAUCUUUAUUUUCUAUGCAGUGAAAAAUCGUUAAACUUCAAUGCCAUCGAUGGACGAUGACACACCAUUACGAGGAGAUACCUAUACUAUAGAUAUAAGUGAUAUAACCCCAGACGGGUUGGAAAACCGACGAGAAAGCUGAGACGGAUCGCGGAGUUGACUUUUUUUUUGAAAAGCCCGCGUUUCCAUGUACGUAUCACAGACGGCUGUAGCAUUACAGUCUCGGACCGAGCGAUGCGGUGAGGCUGCAGGGGUCAAGGGCAGCACGUAUACGAGCGCAUAAAAAGGGUCCGCGUCUCGGUCGUCGCCGUCGUACUUUGAUUCAAUGGAAUUCGACAUGAACAUUGUUCUAAUGUACAAUGGAACGAGGGGCAAUUUCCGUGGAGUCAACCGAGCGAUAAGAGACAAUUGACACAAGUGUAUCGGAUGUUAUAUUCAAGGUUGUGAGCUACUUAAUUGCAUUUUGACGUCGAGUUAUUAAAAACAAAUUUGGACUAACUUAUUACACUGCUUGUGUUAUAAUAAUAAUAAUUAUUAAAAAAAAAAAUGAAAUAUUUUUUUGACUUACGAACCAUUUUAUAAUCAUCAUCUCACCUUGCAGGUAACGUUCAUCUUGGAUGAUGUAAACGUCGUCGUUAUUCGUCUAAUACGAAGGUAUUAACAUUCCUUAUUUUUUUUUUUUAUGGUAGAAUGGUAGACUUCUUAGUUUAGGUACAAUAUACGUAUAUUGUAACAAAAGAUGUUUUUUCGUCAGAUGUAUUCUUUUCGGCUCGCUAUAUUAUAGUGCAUUUGAAUACGGCUCAGUGGAAUUUCAUGUUCAGUAACUUAUUUGAAACGGUUUAACAUAUGUUUAAUAAAUAAGAAAUAUCUUCUUUUACUCGACUUUAAAAAAAAAAAAUACAGAUACAAUGUAAUAUUAUUAUGUUUUAAUAAAUAUUUACAAUUAAGUAUAAGUAUAAAAUAAUGGUAUUAUAUUCAAUUAUUGAAUUAUUGAAGUAUCCUUACAAUAAUCGUUGGUAAAAUUAAUAUUUUUGUGAAUACAUUUUUCGAAUAUUUAUAUUAUUUUUCAUGUAGGUAUUAUAAUAUUAUUAUCUCAUAUAGUCAUAUCCACUAAAAAUGUUGGUAGGAAACCAUAAAGUUUAUGAUUUAAUGGAUUUAACACUUGAAUAGUCUUUGUUGUGCCGUAUUGUAUUGUUCAUUUCAGUGUUCGGGACUAUUUUUGGAGAAAAGAUAAAUCUUGUGCGUUUAUUUUUCUUCCACAACAGUGACUGUCAAUCGUAAUCAAUUAUGAAAUGUUUUUGUACUGUACAUCUAUUCUAUUGGGAUUAGGUGUACAUUUCGUGGGCAUGUCAACCCUAAAUACGGGUUCUAUAUAAUGCACAGUGAAUUGUGACAUCGAAGACCCGCACGGUAUGUCUGGAACAUCUGUCCAAUAAUUUUGAAUUCCUACAGAAUAUUAUUAUUCAAAUAGAUUUUAGACACAUCCGCCAGGAGAUUAAUUACCACCAUCGUUUAACUUAUACAGUUAUACACUUUAGCAGUGUUAUUUAAUGAGACUAGAACGAAUUUUUAACAUAAGAUGUAGGUAUUUACUUUAAAAAUAAUUUAUUGUUAAAAGAAAAAGAUAUGUAUUCAAAAAAUAAUA